UGUAAACACAAAUAAGUAAUUGAGCUGUUUCUUUUCCAAAUUGGAACCUAAUUGGUCUGAAGAAGCGUGUAGAUGACGGUCGGGGAUUUUUCCAAAUUAUUUUUUGACCUUUGGGAUCACUGGAAUUUGUAAUCAGCUGCAAUGACUGUCCGGUGCUACCAUCGAAUCCCCAUUUUCCUAUCAAAAUUAAGUUUUUAGCGGAAUCAUCCUUAAUGUUCUCAAUAACUUCGUGUUGAAGUUUUAAAAUCCGUGAGGCUCUGUUUUUUUUUGCUUUCAAAACCUGCUCGUAAAUAGGCAAUAUAUCAAAUGAAACAAGUGUAUUAAUAAACUUACGAAUAAGCAAAUAUUGAUGUUUCGUUAAAUUCGUCUCCACAAAAAGUGAUAAAACUUCGUCAAUAUUGGCUUGACAAUGUUUUGGGCCUGAAGACAAGCUGCACGAUCGAAGCAAGGAAGCAGCAGAGUUAUCAAUUUUCGCUAUUUCAGCAAUCCUUCGACGUUUUGCUCUAUUCGAACAAUCUGUAAAAUCAAUUUGCUGCCGUCCAAGAUUGGCACUUUCUUGUUUUGGUUGAGACAACUCAUGACCACAGGUCAAGACAAUUGUUUCUAUUUCAUUAAGCCAACUUGAUUGAUAUUGCAUAAUUGCAGUUUUC